GAUGAACGCUGGCGGCGUGCUUAACACAUGCCAGUCGAACGAUGAAGCCCAGCUUGCUGGGUGGAUUAGUGGCGAACGGGUGAGUAACACGUGAGUAACCUGCCCUUAACUCUGGGAUAAGCCUGGGAAACUGGGUCUAAUACCGGAUAGGAGCGUCCACCGCAUGGUGGGUGUUGGAAAGAUUUAUCGGUUUUGGAUGGACUCGCGGCCUAUCAGCUUGUUGGUGAGGUAUUGGCUCACCAAGGCGCCGACGGGUAGCCGGCCUGAGAGGGUGACCGGCCACACUGGGACUGAGACACGGCCCAGACUGCAACGGGAGGCAGCAGUGGGGAAUAUUGCACAAUGGGCGCAAGCCUGAUGCAGCGACGCCGCGUGAGGGAUGACGGCCUUCGGGUUGUAAACCUCUUUCAGUAGGGAAGAAGCGAAAGUGACGGUACCUGCAGAAGAAGCACCGGCUAACUACGUG
rnacentral:rRNA from 1 species